rnacentral:rRNA from 1 species
CCUACUGGGGGCUGCAGUGGGGAAUAUUGGACAAUGGGGGGAACCCUGAUCCAGCCAUGCCGCGUGUGUGAAGAAGGCCCUCGGGUUGUAAAGCACUUUCAGUGAGGAAGAACGCCUGGUGGUUAAUACCCAUCAGGAAAGACAUCACUCACAGAAGAAGCACCGGCUAACUCCGUGCCAGCAGCCGCGGUAAUACGGAGGGUGCGAGCGUUAAUCGGAAUUACUGGGCGUAAAGCGCGCGUAGGUGGCUUGAUAAGCCGGUUGUGAAAGCCCCGGGCUCAACCUGGGAACGGCAUCCGGAACUGUCAAGCUAGAGUGCAGGAGAGGAAGGUAGAAUUCCCGGUGUAGCGGUGAAAUGCGUAGAGAUCGGGAGGAAUACCAGUGGCGAAGGCGGCCUUCUGGACUGACACUGACACUGAGGUGCGAAAGCGUGGGUAGCAAACAGGAUUAGAUACCCGUGUAGUC